CACUCCCUCUCUCUAGAAUCAACUACAAUUUGUUUUCUUUUAUACACAAACACCCAUUCCAUUCGACUAGUAAUACACAGAAAGGAGUCGUAAAAAAAGAGAGAAAAGUGAGAGACCGAUAAAGGGUAAGAAAUCGAGAGGGGUUGUUGUAGGGAGAGAUAAAUACACAUAGGAGAGAUCAGGAUUAUAGAAAACAUAAAAAGAAAGGAGAGAAAAGAAAGCAAUUACACCAUCUGCAAUCAAAGAGAUUCGUCAUCUGUACUGCGUAUCUCAGUUUCUCAUUCAACGCUCAUGAUUUAUGUUUACCUUACUUCAGCUUUGAUGGGUCUAUUUUUGCUAUGAGACUGCGGGUGAAAUUCUGUUUAGACUAGUUCUUUUGGGGGUGCUCUCGUGAUUAAGCUUGGUGGUGCUCUUGUUAUGGAUGCUGGUGGCAGAAAGUUGAUUUGCUGAGUUGUUUACUCCCUUUGACGUUUUUACCCCUGGAUUUGUCUUGCAUCUGUGAGUUGUUUUCUUGAUCGGUUUCUCUUAUGUGUUACGGAGCUGCGGGAUUGCUUUCUUGUUUUUCUUUGGUAUUGCUUGUGUUGCUGGUUGCUGUGUAUUUUCAAGAUAGUUGGUGGAUGUUUGUUCAAUUUAUGACCUUUUUACC